GGACCAUUUGCCUCAACUAUUCAAACAUUUGGUGAAAUUGUGACAUCAGAGUUACCAGACAUUUAUCUCCAAUGCUGGCUUAAGGCAGACAUGAACAACCUCAAGGAACUCACAGUAUGUUUUAUUAAGAGCCUCAUUGAUAAAGCACAGCCCCUGAUCACUGUAUUAGCUACAAAGGCCUUC